AUGGCCCUUACGAGUAGGGCUACACACGUGGUACAAUGGCAGAUACAAAGAGAAGCGACCUCGCGAGAGCAAGCGGAACUCAUAAAGUCUGUCGUAGUCCGGAUUGGAGUCUGCAACUCGACUCCAUGAAGUCGGAAUCGCUAGUAAUCGUAGAUCAGAAUGCUACGGUGAAUACGUUCCCGGGCCUUGUACACACCGCCCGUCACCCCAUGGGAGUGGGACCAAAAGAAGUGGGUAGGUUAACCUUCUGG
rnacentral:rRNA from 1 species